rnacentral:rRNA from 1 species
UACGUAGGGUGCAAGCGUUGUCCGGAAUUAUUGGGCGUAAAGAGCUCGUAGGCGGUCUGUCGCGUCGGCUGUGAAAUCCCGGAGCUCAACUCCGGGCCUGCAGUCGAUACGGGCAGACUGGAGUUCGGCAGGGGAGACUGGAAUUCCUGGUGUAGCGGUGAAAUGCGCAGAUAUCAGGAGGAGCACCGGUGGCGAAGGCGGGUCUCUGGGCCGAUACUGACGCUGAGGAGCGAAAGCGUGGGGAGCGAACAGG